CUAAAGAAGCAUCUUAUGCUCUUCUUUUCUCCCAACCCAACCACAAGCAUUCUCCAUCUCCCUCUCUAAUUUCUUCAGCUUUUCACCUCUGCAUAUUCCUUUCCUUCGCCUAUGCCGCCUUAAAAUCUAUUUUUCAGGCUCUCAUCAGUCAUCAGCUCCGCCUAGUUCUUAACUCCAACUUCAAUUAUGCUUCCAUAAUUUGUAAGUUGGCAAUGAGAGAUGAAUGGCGUGGGGAAUCUUCCGACGUGGGGCGAACAGAUCCGACACCGAACGAUCAAAUCGGGGUGAGCAGAUUUGUUGACGACGCAAGGUGACCGCAUUCUAGACAAGAUGAAGAUAGGACACUACUACAGAAAUUGGAUUACUUGACAGACAUUUUUUCAAUGUCAUGUAUACCCGACGCUUAUAAAAACGUCGGGUAUUCGGCUCCGAAAAAACGUCAAGACAAAUAUUUCUUGAUACAAUUUUCGCAUCAAGAAAGAUAAUACACUCAACAUUGGUGUGCAGGUGGAUUGAACGGCAGUUAAACGACGACCCAACAAAACCGGCAGUUGAAGCGACUAAGAUCAGGGGGCGAGCGACAGACGACCGAUCACUAGCGAAAGCGACGGAAGCGGUUGGGGGCAUUUGGCUACAGAUCUGGGCGGGGCUGAAGACUUGCGAAUGACGUGCAUAGCUGAGCUGGCAUGACUGAGCUGACGGCGAGGGAGAGGCACUCAGGUGUGGAGGCGCGAACAAAGGCGAGGGGAGAAUGGAGAGCAGCCGGCAAGGACAGCGGUCCGAAUGUGAAGGUUGACGACGGCUAGGGCUCUCGGGCGCACGAAAGAAGAAAAAAAGAAUUCGGAGGGAAAGGGAGGGUCACGUGAGUGGAACGGUGAAG